rnacentral:rRNA from 1 species
AGUGAACGCUGGCGGCAGGCCUAACACAUGCAAGUCGAGCGGCAGCACAGUAAGAGCUUGCUCUUUGGUGUGGCGCGUGGCGGACGGGUGAGGUAUAUACGGAAACUUCCUUUUACGUGGGGAAUAACGUAGGAAAACCUACGCUAAUACCGCAUACGUCCUACGGGUGCAAGCCGGGGUUCUUCUAACUCUGCGCGAUUGUAUUAGCCGAUGUCGGAUUAGCUAGUUGGCGGGGUAAAGGCCCACCACGGCGACGAUCCGAAGCGGGUCUGAGAGGAUGGUCAGACACAUUGGAAGUGAGACACGGUCCAGACUCCUACGGGAGGCAGCGGUGGAGAAUCUUAGACGAGGGGCGAGAGGCGAAUCCGAGACAACCGCGUCGGUGAAGAGGGCCUUCGGGUUGGAAAGCCAUUUUGUUGGGAGAGAAGAGCAGCAGGUUAAUAUCCCGCUGUACUGACGGUACCCAAAGAAUAAGCACCGGCUAACUUCGUG